rnacentral:rRNA from 1 species
GACGAACGCUGGCGGCGUGCUUAACACAUGCAAGUCGAACGGAAAGGCCCUGCUUUUGUGGGGUGCUCGAGUGGCGAACGGGUGAGUAACACGUGAGUAACCUGCCCUUGACUUUGGGAUAACUUCAGGAAACUGGGGCUAAUACCGGAUAGGAGCUCCUGCUGCAUGGUGGGGGUUGGAAAGUUUCGGCGGUUGGGGAUGGACUCGCGGCUUAUCAGCUUGUUGGUGGGGUAGUGGCUUACCAAGGCUUUGACGGGUAGCCGGCCUGAGAGGGUGACCGGCCACAUUGGGACUGAGAUACGGCCCAGACUCCUACGGGAGGCAGAAGUGGGGAAUAUUGCACAAUGGGCGGAAGCCUGAUGCGGCAACGCCGCGUGCGGGAUGACGGCCUUCGGGUUGUAAACCGCUUUCGCCUGUGACGAAGCGUGAGUGACGGUAAUGGGUAAAGAAGCACCGGCUAACUACGUG